AGAGUUUGAUCCUGGCUCAGGAUGAACGCUGGCGGCAUGCCUAAUACAUGCAAGUCGAACGAAGUCUUUAGGAAGCUUGCUUCCAAAGAGACUUAGUGGCGAACGGGUGAGUAACACGUAGGUAACCUGCCCAUGUGCCCGGGAUAACUGCUGGAAACGGUAGCUAAAACCGGAUAGGUAUGAGGGAGGCAUCUUCCUCAUAUUAAAGCACCUUCGGGUGUGAACAUGGAUGGACCUGCGGCGCAUUAGCUGGUUGGUGAGGUAACGGCCCACCAAGGCGAUGAUGCGUAGCCGACCUGAGAGGGUGAACGGCCACAUUGGGACUGAGACACGGCCCAAACUCCUACGGGAGGCAGCAGUAGGGAAUUUUCGUCAAUGGGGGGAACCCUGAACGAGCAAUGCCGCGUGUGUGAAGAAGGUCUUCGGAUCGUAAAGCACUGUUGUAAGUGAAGAAUGCCAUAUAGAGGAAAUGCUAUGUGGGUGACGGUAGCUUACCAGAAAGCCACGGCUAACUACGUGCCAGCAGCCGCGGU
rnacentral:rRNA from 3 species